UGCAGCCUGAGCAGGUCCCGUGGGCUCCUCGGCUGUGCCUUGAGGAGGGGGAGGUCCCUUGUCCGGGCCUGGGAGUCCAGGUACGGGGAUUCCGACUCCGAGCCUGUGCUGGACACAGUGCCCAUCAGCAUGCGCUACCCCGAUGGCCACAACCUUGCUUCUCUCUUCUGACGGUGACAUGGCACUGGGAGCCGAACAGAAAUAGAGCUGCAGGGAUCUGUUCCAGUCCGCAGGCCAGGCCUUGACAAGUCACCCAGGCAAGGGGCCCAUGUGCUCAUCUCGCGGGCUCGUCCCCCUGUUUCCUGCUGAGCCCACAGGCUGGCUGUUCAGGGGAGAGACUUCUGCGGAAGGUGCGGGCGCACUGCUCAAAGCUGAAAAGCCUGCUCUGUCGGGUUGCCGGAUUUAGCAAUAAAAAUAAAAGAAAAAUGCAGCACGCCCAGUUAGAUGUGAAUUUCAGAUAAGGACUAACUUGGGUAUAAGUAUAUCCCACAUAUCGAAUGGGAUACACUUAUACUGAAACAUCGGUUGUUUACCUCAAGUUCAACUCUAACUUGGCAUCUUGUAUUUUAUCUGGCCACCUCCUACCCGUCUUUGUCGCCUUGCCAGCCACUCACCCUCAAUAGCUGGACCGUGAGUCCUGCAGGCAAGAAUCCUGUCCCUCUCUCCAGGCCUCCCGCUGUGUGCCCACCUUCAGCAGGGAGCCUGAGCCGGCUCAGGGGCUGGAUACAUACAUACUCUCUGGUGGGACAGGCCAAGGGGACCCACCCUGAGCCGGGGGAAGAGCUGCAUGUGGACCUCGAGCCGAUUUCUGUGAAGACCAGUGCGAAUUGCUGAGAAGACUGAGAUGCCGGCUCUUUGGUUCAAGAGGUACUUUUUAACUGUCGUAGAACAGCUCUGACUUCCUGGUUGCCUACCGCACACGGAGCUCUACCAUGUUUUUAUAGGUCAGCGCUCACAACAGCUCUGCUGGGCAGCCGUGGUUUUUACACCUUUGAUGGGGUAACUGGGGUUCAGAGAGGGGCGUACCUGGCUGCAGGUCACACGGACAGGAGCCCACAGCUGGCUAUUCUCCAGCCAGACCCAGGGGUGCCCCCCAUCCGGUGCUGGCACGGGGGGGGGGGCUGCUUCGGCGAAGACUCAGGUGUGAGUGGCGCACUGACGGUGAGAACACUGUGUGCCCUCGGGAGCCACCUCCGCUCCCGGGUGAGCUGUGCCGUUACCGUCAGUCUCACCUCUGCAGCUUGUUGCUCAGUAAAGCCUGGUGCACAGGAGAGUUCCCCACUCAGAAAUUUUCAAUGGAGGAGGCCUGGAGUGAAUGAGAUUCUGCUGAGCUUCAACUCCCCACUGGGCAGGGAGGGGUCAAGUACCUGGUGAAGGGGCACCACGGGGCACUCAGCCAGGACAGCAGUUCAGACCCAGCGCCCACCAUUUCUGAACUCGGCGACUUUGGGGAAGCCACUUCCUAGGUUUUGCCAUCUCUCAAGAAGGAGUGAAACGAACUUGGCCACCCCAGGUUCCCAAGAAGUGCCAGCUGUUGAUGCUGCUGCUACGGAGGGUGAUGAAGACAGGCCGCAGCCACCUCUUCCCUGGCGGGCCCGCUGGAGUGAGGCCCAGAGCCUCACGCCCCGAGGAGCCCUCGGCACCUUUGCAGAAUCCAAAGUCUGGAUGCACCACAAUUUAUUUAUCCAUUUACCUGCUGAAGGACAGCUUGUUUGCUUUCAAGUUUUGGCAAUUAUGGAUGAAGCUUCUACAAGCAUCUGUGCACAGGCUUUAGUGUGCACAUGACUUUUCAACUCCAAGGAUCAUGACUGCAUGGAUUGUAUGACAAAAAUAUGUUUAAUUUUGUAAGAAACCACCAGCCCGCUUUCCAGAGGGGCUGCACCAUGUUGAACUCCCACCAACAACGAACGAGAGCUCCUGUUGCCCCGUGUCCUCGCCGGCAUUUGGUGCUGUCCGUGUUCUGGAUUUUGGCCAUUCUAAUAGGUAUGUAGUGGUGAAAAUGAAAAAUUUUAAAAAAUUCCAUUUACAAUAGCACAAAAGAGCAUAAAAUACUUAGUAGUAAUAAAUUUAACAAAAGAAUGAGUUUUGAAAAGUCCUAAGAUGAAUGGGAGGAGAUAGUACGUUCAUGGAUCAGAAAACUCCAUGCGGCUGAGAGGUCGGUUCUCCCCGACCGCCCUGCAGGUUCAGCACAGCCCCCGUUGUAACCCCAGCAGCCUCGGGAAAACACACAAAAUGUCAGGCUGAUUCUAGUGCUGACGUGGACAUUUGAAGGACUUAAAGCAGCCGAAAAACUUGUUCUGUGAUGAACUUACGCCACCUGAUUUCGAGAUCCAGGCAAGGCGAGUAGACGGGCCUGACCGACUAGAGCGCCGGCGGCAGGCCCGCGCUUUUCUGGCUCCUGGAUUUUUGAUGAAGGGGUCACAGCAUUUUCAUGGGAAAAGAAGUCUUUUCAGCAGAUGGUACCAGAUCUACUUGACGUCCAUCUUGAGAAAAUGAACCUUGACCUUCCACCUUAUACACAUUUCAUUCACAGUGGAUCAGGAUCUAAACAUAAAAAUUAAAACUAUAAAGCUUCUGGGACGCAGGUGACAGACACAAGGCCCCGGGGGCUGAACCCAGCACCGCCCCCCUCCCCCCGCCUGGUUUAAUCCAGAACCUUGUUUCUACCUGGCAGCAGCACCGAGCUCCUUGCCCCUAGUUAAGGAGUAGUUACAAUUAUACAGGCCUAAAAUUACAGUCGGCCCUUUGAAGGCAACUGCAAGGCUGAUGUGGCCCCCGGUGAGAAUGAGUUCAACACCCCAGUUCUAGGAGAAGCCGCAGGAGAAAAUCUUCAUCACCCGUGAGCUGGACCAAGUUUCUUAGACAGGACACAGACGGCACUCACCAUAAGAAAAUCAACAAUUCGACCUCACCAAAGUCGAACACGCCUGCUUACUGUUAAGAAAGUGAAAUGGGAAACCACACACUAGAGAUGGGCGGGUGUCUAGAUGAGACAGACGAACCUACAGCGCAGUGGUCCAAGGGCACCUGCCUCCACUUCACAGAGGAAGGGGUGCCCAGGCGAGCGGGCACAUUUAAAAGUGCUCGACGUCAUCGGUCAUCUGGGAAAUGCCAAUUAAAGUCCACGAGGUACUACUACAAAAUCUCACAGUGAAGGUGUUUUAUUAUAUUAUUCCCUCCCUCAUUAAGAUAGUUUAUGAUUAAAAUUUUACGACUGACAACAAGAAAUGUUGGUGAGAACGUGGAACAAGUGGAAUGCUCAUAAAUUGCUGAUGGGAACACAAAAUGUCACAAGUACUUUGGAAAAAGUUUCACUGGUUUCCUAUAAAGUGAGGCACACACUUUCCCUAGAGCUCAGUAAUUCCACUUCUAGACAUUUUCUCAAAAGAAAUAAGCGCACACGUCCCCAGAAAAGUUUGUAUGGGAAUGUUUAUAACAGCUGUACUUACGAUGCCCCAACUGGAAACUACCCAAAGGUCCAUCAAAUGAGGGGAUGUCCCAGUUGUACUGAUGGCCACACUGGAAUCACGUGUGCUGUGUUGCGAUGGCUGUAUGUUGUGACACAAGUCCUGCUGCUAUAACAACACCAACCAGCCCAGGGUUGACAUGGUGGCUCCAUAGUGUCAGGGGCCCAGACUCGUACUCACUUGCUCUUUUGCCAUCCUCAGUACACAGCUUCUACCUCGUGAUGUGAAACGGUUGCUGUUGUUCCUGCUGUUGCAUCUUCAUUCCAGCCAGCAGAAGGAGAGAUGGGAACAAGGGCCCCUCUUCCUUUUAAGGCAGGACAGGAGGUUGCACGCUUCACUUCCAUUCACAUGCCACUAGCCAGAGCCUGGUCACACCGGCACCCUUAAUUACAAGGGAAGCUGGAGAAUGUGUGUUUUCUUGGGCAGCCAGGAACAUUUCUGUCUUAGAAGCUGGCCACCAUACUCUCUAGACCCCUGAGAGCAAGCCCUGCCUCAUCCGCUUGGGGUUGCCCCAGGGCCCUGCACAGCGUGGAGUGGGGGUGAAGUCUGAGCUCAGUAAGAAUUACUUGGAAGAAUUAAUGAGGAAAUACAGCAAGUCUCUCCUAAUAACAGCACUGACCCCUGAGGGCCUUUGUCAGUGAGGUCAUGGCCAGCUCCUCACGUUCUUGCUGAAGACGUCGUCUGCUCCAGUCUGAUGCACUCACAAGGCUUGCGUAGACACGUGCUUCCUUUUUUCUCAUCAGCCCAGCCCCAGUGAACUGGGGGUAUGGGGGACCCAGUGAUGGUUUGGGGAUUUGUGGAAGGGAGGAUGACUGCCCCCACCAAUGAGAAAGAAGCUAACAAAGGCUUUGUGAUGA